rnacentral:rRNA from 1 species
GAUGAACGCUGGCGGCGUGCCUAAUACAUGCAAGUCGAGCGAACAGAUAAGGAGCUUGCUCCUUUGACGUUAGCGGCGGACGGGUGAGUAACAUGUGGGUAACCUACCUAUAAGACUGGAAUAACUCCGGGAAACCGGGGCUAAUGCCGGAUAACAUUUAGAACCGCAUGGUUCUAAAGUGAAAGAUGGUUUUGCUAUCACUUAUAGAUGGACCCGCGCCGUAUUAGCUAGUUGGUAAGGUAACGGCUUACCAAGGCAACGAUACGUAGCCGACCUGAGAGGGUGAUCGGCCACACUGGAACUGAGACACGGUCCAGACUCCUACGGGAGGCAGCAGUAGGGAAUCUUCCGCAAUGGGCGAAAGCCUGACGGAGCAACGCCGCGUGAGUGAUGAAGGUCUUCGGAUCGUAAAACUCUGUUAUUAGGGAAGAACAAAUGUGUAAGUAACUGUGCACGUCUUGACGGUACCUAAUCAGAAAGCCACGGCUAACUACGUG